GCGCGCGACCGUGCGUCGUGCGGGCUAACGAACCCCGGCGCGGAACGCGCCAAGGAAAACCGAAACGAAGCGCCGUCCCCCCGUCCGUGCCCCGUCCGCGGUGCGCCCGGGCGGGGGAGUCGCGCGCCUCACGAAUAGUCAAAACGACUCUCGGCAACGGAUAUCUCGGCUCUCGCAUCGAUGAAGAACGUAGCGAAAUGCGAUACUUGGUGUGAAUUGCAGAAUCCCGUGAACCAUCGAGUCUUUGAACGCAAGUUGCGCCCGAAGCCUUCGGGCCGAGGGCACGCCUGCCUGGGCGUCACGCAUCGCGUCGCCCCCCUCCCCCGUCCCCCCGCGGGACGGGCUGGCGGUGGGGGCGGAGAGUGGCCUCCCGUGCGCCCCGGCGCGCGGCCGGCCCAAAUGCGAUCCCCCGGCGGCGCUCGUCGCGACCAGUGGUGGUUGAACUGCUCGCUGUCCGUCGCGUCCCGYAGCGCCGUCCGGCCGGGCAUCACGAACGACCCYAGAGCGUCCGCGAGGCGCAUCCGACCGCGACCCCAGGUCAGGCGGGAUUACCCG
rnacentral:rRNA from 1 species